ACGGAGGGGACAAGCGUUGUUAGGAUUUACUGGGCGUAAAGGGCGCGUAGGCGGACCUUCAAGUCGGAUGUGAAAACCAGCAGCUUAACUGCUGGCCUGCAUUCGAUACUGUUGGCCUUGAGUACGAGAGAGGAGAGUGGAAUUCCAGGUGUAGCGGUAAAAUGCGUAGAUAUCUGCAAGAACACCAGUAGCGAAGGCAGCUCUCUGGCUCGAUACAGACUCUUGAACGCAAAGACAUGGGGAGCAAACAG
rnacentral:rRNA from 1 species